rnacentral:rRNA from 1 species
CCCUUAGAUGUUCUGGGCCGCACGCGCGCUACACUGAUGCAUUCAACGAGUUUCUUCCUGGUCCGAGAGGAAUGGGUAACCUUUUGAAAGUGCAUCGUGAUAGGGAUAGACUAUUGCAAUUAUUGGUCUUCAACGAGGAAUUCCUAGUAGACGUAGUUCAUCAGACUGCAUCGAUUACGUCCCUGCCCUUUGUACACACCGCCCGUCGCACCUACCGAUUAAAUGACUCGGUGAAAAAUUGGGACCGUGAGUCUGUUUGCUUCAUUGCGAGUGGAUUGAUGGGAACUUUUUUAAACCUCGCCAUUUAGAGGAAGGUGAAGUCGUAACA